rnacentral:rRNA from 1 species
AGUGAACGCUGGCGGUAGGCCUAACACAUGCAAGUCGAACGGCAGCACAGUAAGAGCUUGCUCUUACGGGUGGCGAGUGGCGGACGGGUGAGGAAUACAUCGGAAUCUACUUUUUCGUGGGGGAUAACGUAGGGAAACUUACGCUAAUACCGCAUACGACCUACGGGUGAAAGCAGGGGAUCUUCGGACCUUGCGCGAUUGAAUGAGCCGAUGUCGGAUUAGCUAGUUGGCGGGGUAAAGGCCCACCAAGGCGACGAUCCGUAGCUGGUCUGAGAGGAUGAUCAGCCACACUGGACCUGAGCCACGGUCCAGACUCCUCCGGGAGGCAGCAGUGGGGAAUAUUGGACAAUGGGCGCAAGCCUGAUCCAGCCAUACCGCGUGGGUGAAGAAGGCCUUCGGGUUGUAAAGCCCUUUUGUUGGGAAAGAAAAGCAGCAGGUUAAUACCCCGCUGUUCUGACGGUACCCAAAGAAUAAGCACCGGCUAACUUCGUG